GGUCUCUCUCAAAAAUAAAUAAACAUUAAAAGAAAAACAACCCAACAGAACUUUCAGGAGGCGUUCCUGCGAUAGUAACUGGAAGAGGGGAACAAUUCUUGGGCACCCCCCACUCCAGGCCCUCUCUGCCCCCACUCCCUGAGCAAGCUGGCCGCCCAGCGGGGCCCAGCAGGUCUGAGAAGGGGUCUCAGGAGCAUGGCCCUGGGUAUGUCGGGGCCUCCAGCACCCUCCAGGUACAAGUGAUUCUUACGGAUUUCAGAGACAGGCUUGAGUCCAAAGCCUUACAGAAAUUAGAGCCCCUUUUUUGUUUGCCUGUGUUUAGACUUAGUAACUUAAUUUGGCCAGUCUGUGGAGGAAAAGGUGAUGGUCUUUCUUUUCUAGGAGUUGGAUUACACAUCUGCCGAUUUGAUAACUGCAUCUUCAAGGUCACGCACACAAAGCUCCCAGAGGCUCUAGGAACUGUGAAUUAUGAAAUAGCACAUACAUGCCUGGGGGGAGGUGGGCCUCACCGGGGACGUGGGCACGUCACACCCAACAGAUGCCCUUUUGGCCGUAGGCACCUGAGCAGGUUGGUGGACAGAUGACCAGUGUUUCCUCCUUUUGAAGAAGGAAAGUCUGAAGGUCAUGGACGUACCUCCAGCAGGACCCACUCAGUGGGUGGUUCCAAAUAGCUGGUCUGACGCGACAGAGUUAUUCUUUCCGAGCUAUUCCGUUAUGUGGUUCUCACAUUUAUUGAGCACUGACUGUUUGCAGUCUUAUGCUUGGUGCUGGACACAUAAAGGUGAGGGUGAUCUGGUCUGUCCUGUGGAGGGUUUGCCGUCCAGCCACGGAGACAAGUAGAUUAAGCCACCGGUUACGAUACCACGUGUCAGUGUUGGGUCAUGGUGGUUUGCAAACCAGGAAGGCGUGGAUUCAUCCGUCUCCCGGCACCUGCUCGUGACUUCUCUUGAGCGGAUCUGAAUGCAGUGAGGGCUCUGCCCUGCGAGGCUGUGCAUGGGGCCGAGGAGGGUGAGGCGGCUGGAGGGAGCAGGGGGAGACCGGGAGCUAAAGACAGCUGGACGUCCAUACGUACACAUUCUCAAACACAACGUAGUGUCCUGCAAAGCUACCCUGUCAGGGCAGGACAGAAGCAAAACUUGACCCAAAGUCACAUUGUCUGGAAAGACUUGAUAAGUGAGCCUGUAAGGAAUGUUCUGGAACAUCUCAGCUCCAAAAAACAAAAUAAUAAAAUGUGUUUGUUCAGGUCUUGCUCAAGAGAAGCUGGAAGCCUGUGAUUCAUCUCCUGGUCUGCUGUCCCUGUCCCCCAACCUAGCCCGGGAACGGGGACUGUGUCGUGCACGGGCUCAAAGCCGUGUUGGUGACUCUGUCUCAGCUCGCUGAUCCAUAUUUGCUGAAGAAAACCAGGAUGGUUCACUUGCAGUUCUGCAUCUUGCGGAGACACGGCCCGUGUCUUGGGGAAGUUAGCAACCUGUCUGGGAGACACCGGGCACAAAGCAGGCAGAGCCCAGGCCCAGGGUGGGGCGGUGAGGGGUGGGGACCAUCUUCCCCAGUUACGAGACCCCAAAGAGGAAUCAGAGACCAAGGUGGGCACCUUGGGGGGGUGGCGGCCGUCAUCUGUCAAGGGGAACAGCCACUUGGGGAACACGAUGGCCCAGACACUUGGUCUGGGACCAAGUCCAAAAAAUGGAAACCAGAGUUGCCUAAAAGUCCCACCUUGCCUGCUGCUGUGGUUAUCUUAAUUGCACACACAGUGUCUCUCUUCAGUCCCACGUUCUCGGAGCUGAAGAUGUGCGAUAUAGUUACCAAGUGUCUUUGUUUUGCAAAAGAAUGGGGAAAAUGUGAGGAUGCCGGCAAAGGAGCUGGCCCCGGACCCCCGUGCUGCUACAAGACGCUGACAUUUCGCGAUGAUUUGUGUCGCGGUUGGACAGCAGCCCGCUGACUUUCUCCCUGUUGGACGCUGGUCCGCACCAGCCCUGGCCCGGUCCUUCUCCGGCUGCCAGCAGGUAUUUUUGUUUUUAGGACAUAAAUCCCGGCCCUUUCCUCGUCUUCUGGAGCAGAGACAUCUCUCCCCUGGAGAUCGAGGUGAACAUCCCCUGGGUGCCAGCUGUGAUUCAGGCAGGAGACGUGCCUGUGCUGGCCCCCGGCCCCCGAGCCCCCCCGGGAGCAAGCGAGGCUGCAUGAGUGGGGUUCUGUGUCCUCGUCUGUCUGUCUCUACCACACUGGAGAUACCCUCCCCAUGCCCCCCCGCUGUGGAGCCCCUGCAGUCAGCUAGGCUCUAUCAGCGACUUCGGGUAGAAUGCACGAAGGAACAAAAAUAAAUAAAGUCAGACGGGGGAGAGGCGGAGCUCACGCAGCCUGGGUGGAUUUACUUUCUCUUACUACCAGAAGACUCAGGAAACAAUGCAGAAAAUAUGAAAUACAUCCAUUGGCUCUCCCGCCUCUUAAAUGGUUUGACCUAAGCGGGCAAAUCCUGGCUGGGGACAGGGGACAUCUGGAGGACAUCACUGUCUCAGGCCACAGUGGACCCGGCUCUUUGCUCUGGAGUGGGCAAGGCGGACGCUUGGCCGUUCAAGGAGCCCAGAUGACAGAUAAGAGGGACGAACCCAGCUGCGGGUCCUCCCGAGAAGGCCACUUCAGUGUGACCCCCUGGGAGAGGCUCCUUGCUGUUCUUCCGACAGCUUCCUCCGUGGGGGGAAAUGGAUUUGGCCAAAAGAACAGAGAAGAGAAAAUUAAGUCUGUGUGAUGGCGGCCCAGCACUCUGAGAAGGGGCUCGUCCCCAGCGCUUUAUUUUUCCUACGGCCGGCAUCUGUCGUUUGCUAGAAACCGCAGAAUUGCACGUCACCUUGAAGCAGGGAUUGGCUUCCCCCGAGCUGGACGUCCAGCAACAGAUGGGAGCCAAGAAAGCGCUGUGAACUUUAGCUGCCUGACCAGGGUCACAGGAAUGCCGUAGAUCGAGCCAAACAAAUCCCCAUGCCGGGGGCCACGGGCCUCUGUGCAUGUCUCCCCUGUCCCCACGCAUCGAAGCCACAGGUGAACAGAUGGAAAGACCACCUCACAGAUCCUUGGCCGAGACCUCUGGACCAGCGCCGCUCAGGCCCCGACGAAGGCUGACUGCGGGAGACUCGGGUGCAACAGAAAACGCUGUCCUGCGGGGCCGAGGCCCAAGUGGAAUCGGGGCACCUCCACGUCUGUCACUUCUGACACCUGUGCAACCUCAAGGGGCCCAGCUCUGCUCCCGGCACAGCGUCCAGACACGGGGACAGCAGCGGCUUGGAUAGAGGACCCCGGGCCGCACACCUCCUCCCCCGAGACGGUCCCUGCUGGUGACAUGGUCAUUAUUGUCCUUGCCACUGUUUGGAUUUUCCUUCUGGGUUUUUUUUUUUUUUUUUUUUUUGGCGGGGAGGGGGGUUUGUUCUUUCUGAAAAUCUCUAGAUUCAGGAACGUAUUUACGAGGAUUUAAAUUUUGGAUUUGUAUUUCCCUCUAAGUGCCUUUUUAAUGUAUAUUUUUUUAAUAAAACAGAAAUGCAUUCCUGUACAACUCUGUUUAAACUGGACCAAGGCUCUCAGACAAAGAACCUCGCAUGCCCCCCCCCCCCCCCCCCCCCCCCCCAGCCUCUGCAUGAUCGUUCCAAGCAAGCCUGGACUCCUUCUCACCCCUUGCCUCUCUCUCUCUCUCUCGUGAUUUGCUCAGCUAACCAUUUUUUAAAAUAUUUUCUGUUUCAGUGUAUAUGUUGCUUAUUUGUUUUAUUUAUUGAGAUGUUUUUAACAAGCUCGGUGACUGCAACGUGGCUGUGUACCCUGCCCCCUCCCAGGAAUAAUAAAGAUGUCCCUGCAGCCCGG